GACGAACGCUGGCGGCGUGCUUAACACAUGCAAGUCGAACGGAAAGGCCCUGCUUUUGUGGGGUGCUCGAGUGGCGAACGGGUGAGUAACACGUGAGUAACCUGCCCUUGACUUUGGGAUAACUUCAGGAAACUGGGGCUAAUACCGGAUAGGAGCUCCUGCUGCAUGGUGGGGGUUGGAAAGUUUCGGCGGUUGGGGAUGGACUCGCGGCUUAUCAGCUUGUUGGUGGGGUAGUGGCUUUCCAAGGCUUUGACGGGUAGCCGGCCUGAGAGGGUGACCGGCCACAUUGGGACUGAGAUACGGCCCAGACUCCUACGGGAGGCAGCAGUGGGGAAUAUUGCACAAUGGGCGGAAGCCUGAUGCGGCAACGCCGCGUGCGGGAUGACGGCCUUCGGGUUGUAAACCGCUUUCGCCUGUGACGAAGCGUGAGUGACGGUAAUGGGUAAAGAAGCACCGGCUAACUACGUG
rnacentral:rRNA from 1 species